rnacentral:rRNA from 1 species
CACGGAGCUUGCUCUGGUGGCGAGUGGCGAACGGGUGAGUAAUAUAUCGGAACGUACCCUUGGGUGGGGGAUAACGUAGCGAAAGUUACGCUAAUACCGCAUACGAUCUACGGAUGAAAGUGGGGGCUCAGCAAUGACCUCAUGCUCAUGGAGCGGCCGAUAUCUGAUUAGCUAGUUGGUAGGGUAAAAGCCUACCAAGGCAUCGAUCAGUAGCUGGUCUGAGAGGACGACCAGCCACACUGGAACUGAGACACGGUCCAGACUCCUACGGGAGGCAGCAGUGGGGAAUUUUGGACAAUGGGCGAAAGCCUGAUCCAGCAAUGCCGCGUGAGUGAAGAAGGCCUUCGGGUUGUAAAGCUCUUUUGUCAGGGAAGAAACGGUGGUUUCCAAUACAGAUCACUAAUGACGGUACCUGAAGAAUAAGCACCGGCUAACUACGUGCCAGCAGCCGCGGUAAUACGUAGGGUGCAAGCGUUAAUCGGAAUUACUGGGCGUAAAGCGUGCGCAGGCGGUUAUGUAAGACAGAUGUGAAAUGCCCGGGCUCAACCUGGGAACUGCAUUUGUGACUGCAUGGCUAGAGUUUGGCAGAGGGGGGUAGAAUUCCACGUGUAGCAGUGAAAUGCGUAGAUAUGUGGAGGAACACCGAUGGCGAAGGCAGCCCCCUGGGUCAAGACUGACGCUCAUGCACGAAAGCGUGGGGAGCAAACAGGAUUAGAUACCCUGGUAGUCCACGCCCUAAACGAUGUCUACUAGUUGUCGGGUCUUAAUUGACUUGGUAACGCAGCUAACGCGUGAAGUAGACCGCCUGGGGAGUACGGUCGCAGAUUAAAACUCAAAGGAAUUGACGGGGACCCGCACAAGCGGUGGAUGAUGUGGAUUAAUUCGAUGCAACGCGAAAACCUUACCUACCCUUGACAUGGCUGGAAUCCCUGAGAGAUCGGGGAGUGCUCGAAGAGAACAGUACACAGGUGCUGCAUGCUGUCGUCAGCUCGUGUCGUGAGAUGUUGGGUUA